GACGAACGCUGGCGGCGUGCUUAACACAUGCAAGUCGAACGGAAAUUCUCUGCUUUUGUGGGGUUCUCGAGUGGCGAACGGGUGAGUAACACGUGAGUAACCUUCCCUUGACUUUGGGAUAACUUCAGGAAACUGGGGCUCAUACCGGAUAGUUGCUCCUGCUUCGUGGUGGGGGUUGGAAAGUUUCGGCGGUUGGGGAUGGACUCGCGGCGUAUCAGCUUGUUGGUGGGGUAGUGGCUUACCAAGGCUCUGACGGGUAGCCGGCCUGAGAGGGUUACCGGCAACAUUGGGACUGAGAUACGGCCCAGACUCCUACGGGAGGCAGGAGUGGGGAAGAGUGCACAGUGGGAGGGAGCCAGAUGCAGCAAAGCGGCGUGCGGGAUGACGACAUUCGGGUUGUAAACCGAUUUCGCAUGUGAAGAAGAGUGAGUGACGGUAAUGGGUAAAGAAGCACCGGCUAACUACGUG
rnacentral:rRNA from 1 species